AAGCAACUAUAUAUUUAAUUGAUGAUCAGGCAAUCAAAUAAUAAAAGCAUGCAUGCAAGAUUAAUCAACAAUUGCAAGAAUUUAAUUAAACCACAUGUCUUGAAUUAAAAAUAAAUAAUAACGAGUUUUAUCGUCAUCCAAUACAUGAGAAAAAUUAGCCUGACAUGAUGUUGAAAUUAAACACAUAAAAUUGGAAGGACAUCACCGAGAAAUUGACGAAACGUGAAUAAUUUCCAAAGUAAAUCUCCGUCUCUCUCUUUUUAUUUCAAUGGGUUGCCUCCUUUUUGUAUCUUUUUCUUUCCAAAAAGUUCAUGCCAAUGUGUUAUAUUUCAGCCAAAAGCAACCCUCCAAAAACAACCUUCAAUUCAAUCUCCAAAUCUGGCCUUUGCUAUGCGUGUAUGUGUUUUAUGUUUUCUGCCAAAGUGUCUUCCCGUGUGUAUAAUUUUUUAAUGAAACCAGCCGGCAACAACCCUUAUGAAUCUGUAGGCGUAUGUGUAUAUAUCUACUUCCGUGUUUGUGCCGAACAAUCCUUCACGUCACCGCCCAAUGUUUGUGUAAAUAUAUAAUAUUGCAACUGCGUGUAUAUAAUUAUUGUUCCUCCUAGCUGGUGACGUUUUCUUUGUGCGUGAGUCUAAGUAUUAAUUGGCUGCUUCUUUCUUCUCCAAUUCUUCCUUGCCGCCAGCAACUUGUAUCUAUCCCCUCUUCCUUCGUUUUAUGUGCGUGUUUCUCACUCCAGUAAAGCACAAAUUUUUCUCCACUCUUUCCCCCAGUAGUCGGCACUAGUGUUUAUAUCUUUAAUGGCAGAAUUCUCCUCCCAAAGAUGCCGACCAGCCUCUUGUUUUUUUCUCUGUCUCCCUAAUUCUUGUAGCCGCCAAUGUAUAUUAUUUCCCAGGCUGCUCCCCCCGGCUCUUUGGAUUUUCUGUGUGUAUAUAUAUGAAUCCUAUGAUGCAAUGCAACCUAGCACCUCUUCUAGUCCAAUUAGAGGUCCAACGUCCUAGUAAAUCUUCAAUUUGAAUUUCAAAGCAAGUCUAAUUGAGCCCACUUAGUAGAUUAUUUUUCUCUAAGUACUCAAUUUUCAAAGCGAUGCAAAUCAGUCCAAUUUUUAUAGUUAGACUUUGAUUCCCAAAAAUUGCAUCCAAUGGCCAAUUUAAUCCACGUACUUUGGAUUUUGUUAUUUUCGCUCGUUUUUGCUUCUCUCCUUCACUUCCUUUUCAAUCGUAGAUUUUCACCUGUUAAACGUAAAAGACAACAAUUUAGAAUGUAUUUUGUCAAAGGACUAUCAAAUAUCGUUAUUUUAGAGUCCCAAAUAAGUGUAUAAAAUACACUUAUCACUCGGUUACCUAGAAAGUGUGAAAAAAUACAUGUUAUGGGUUUUUGGUGUCCCAGGCAUUAAGAUCAUCAAUAGUAGACAUAUAGUCUUCAAUGAAUUUGAAAUGUCA
rnacentral:lncRNA from 1 species